UACGGGGGGGAGCAAGCGUUGUUCGGAUUUACUGGGCGUAAAGGGCGCGUAGGCGGCGCAACAAGUCACUUGUGAAAUCUCCGGGCUUAACCCGGAGCGGUCAAGUGAUACUGUCGUGCUAGAGUGCGGAAGGGGGCUACUGGAAUUCUCGGUGUAGCGGUGAAAUGCGUAGAUAUCAGGAGGAACACCGAUGGCGAAGGCAGGUCUCUGGGCUGACACUGACGCUCAUGCACGAAAAGCGUGGGGGAGCAAACAGG
rnacentral:rRNA from 1 species